GCUACUAUGGCCGAGUGGUCCAAGGCGGUGGACUUAAGUUUUCUAUUGACUUGAAACCCAUUGGGGAAACCCGCGCAGGUUCGAACCCUGCUGGUAGCA